CUUCAUAAAACGUCAUCCUCAUCACAUUCUUGCAUACAUUUUAUCCAUUUACAUCAGUCGGCUACAGGACGUCUUUCAAAACAUGACCUGCACAAAAAAAAAAAAAUGAAUGCGUGGUUGUACUUCUGAAUGCGUCUCUGUCCCCAGCACGUUUCAAACCAAACUGACGCCCAUGGGAUAACCACAUUUUUGGAGACUUUAAAUUCUUGUGGACUUUUGCAUGAAUUUGGUUAGUUUUAGCAUAAGCCAUCAAAAACAUAUUCAGCUGUUCCUAUUAUAAGAAGUAUUUGUAUUGCUCACAUGUAACUAAUCUCACGAUCCAAGUGUACUUACCUAGUGUUUUGUCUCUGUCUCUUAAGUGAAGAUGAUGGACACAUUCUUGCACUGUGUUUUCUCUAGUUACAGAUACGGAGUGGGUUACAUCACCACUUAGGGUUACUAUAUUUGAAGUACAUACAGUAUGUGGGCAUAGAAAAUAUAGUUGCUUGAGCAAAAGAUCGUGAAAACAGGAGGGUUCACAACAGCCCAUUGUUACUACAGAGACGGAG